GACGAACGCUGGCGGCGUGCCUAACACAUGCAAGUCGAACGGAACUUUUUUAAAAGAUUUCUUCGGAAUGAAUUUGAUUAAGUUUAGUGGCGGACGGGUGAGUAACGCGUGAGUAACCUGCCUCUAAGAGGGGAAUAACAUUCUGAAAAGAAUGCUAAUACCGCAUAAUAUAUAUUUAUCGCAUGGUAGAUAUAUCAAAGAUUUAUCGCUUAGAGAUGGACUCGCGUCCGAUUAGUUAGUUGGUGAGGUAACGGCUCACCAAGACUGCGAUCGGUAGCCGGACUGAGAGGUUGAACGGCCACACUGGGACUGAGACACGGCCCAGACUCCUACGGGAGGCAGCAGUGGGGGAUAUUGCGCAAUGGGGGAAACCCUGACGCAGCAACGCCGCGUGAAGGAUGAAGGUCUUCGGAUUGUAAACUUCUUUUAUUAAGGACGAAGAAAGUGACGGUACUUAAUGAAUAAGCUCCGGCUAACUACGUGCCAGCAGCCGCGGUAAUACGUAGGGAGCAAGCGUUGUCCGGAUUUACUGGGUGUAAAGGGUGCGUAGGCGGCUUUGCAAGUCAGAUGUGAAAUCUAUGGGCUCAACCCAUAGCCUGCAUUUGAAACUGCAGAGCUUGAGUGAAGUAGAGGCAGGCGGAAUUCCCCGUGUAGCGGUGAAAUGCGUAGAGAUGGGGAGGAACACCAGUGGCGAAGGCGGCCUGCUGGGCUUUAACUGACGCUGAGGCACGAAAGCGUGGGUAGCAAACAGGAUUAGAUACCCUGGUAGUCCACGCUGUAAACGC
rnacentral:rRNA from 1 species